AUCAACUUUCGAUGGUAGGAUAGAGGUCUACCAUGGUUUUAACGGGUAACGGGGAAUUAGGGUUCGAUUCCGGAGAGGGAGCCUGAGAAACGGCUACCACAUCCAAGGAAGGCAGCAGGCGCGCAAAUUACCCAAUCCCGACACGGGGAGGUAGUGACAAUAAAUAACAAUACGGGGCUCAUUUGGGUCUCGUAAUUGGAAUGAGUACAAUUUAAAUCUCUUAACGAGGAACAAUUGGAGGGCAAGUCUGGUGCCAGCAGCCGCGGUAAUUCCAGCUCCAAUAGCGUAUAUUAAAGUUGUUGCAGUUAAAAAGCUCGUAGUUGAACUUCGGGGUCUACCCAUUGGUCAGGCUUAAUUGUCUGCACUGGUGAGAUGGAUCUCUACCUUCUGAGGAACUUUCAUGCCAUUUAUUUGGUGUGAUGGGAAAUCAGGACUGUUACUUUGAAAAAAUUAGAGUGUUUAAAGCAGACUAUCGUCUGAAUACAUUAGCAUGGAAUAAUGAAAUAGGACGGACUGAUUCUAUUUCGUUGGUUUCUAGGAUCACCGUAAUGAUUAAUAGGGAUAGUUGGGGGCAUUAGUAUUCAAUUGUCAGAGGUGAAAUUCUUGGAUUUAUUGAAGACUAACUACUGCGAAAGCAUUUGCCAAGGAUGUUUUCAUUAAUCAAGAACGAAAGUUAGGGGAUCGAAGACGAUCAGAUACCGUCGUAGUCUUAACCAUAAACUAUGCCGACUAGGGAUCGGACGAAGUUAAUUUUAUAAUGACGCGUUCGGCACCUUACGGGAAACCAAAGUGUUUGGGUUC
rnacentral:rRNA from 1 species